CUCUCCUACCCAAUCCGAUUGAUCCGCCGCCUCCCGUGCUCGGAUCGGUGCUUGAUCCGUAGAACGGCCUUCCGCCCCCUUCAUCUCAUCUGGGCUUGACGCAGCCGCACUCGGAUGAGCUGCUGCUGGUUGCUUUUUUUUUUUUACCUCGCCAUUUGAUCGCUGCACAGAGAUCGAAGGGAGGGCCUGCCAUGGCCGCUCAACGUACUCCCGCCCCCUCUCCGCCCUCCACUGCCUUCUACACAUCGGCUCCUCCCUCUCCACUCCCCCGCUUUUGCACCCACCACCGCAUCCCCCGCCCGGAGACCGGCAACGACGGAGGGUUAGCUUCGACGAGCGACCGACCACGAGAUAUGAUAUGAGUUCAUCUGCGCCUUCCCUCACAGCGUCCACCUGCUGAUCAUCCUCCAAAACCCGGCGGAAUGGUAAAGCCGCCUACCUCUUGCGUCCGCCUGAGGGAUGCAGUCGCUGAACAUGUGUUGCUCAUGUUUGAUCAUUGGCAUGCUUUGCGUGAAGCUUCCUGAUUGUAGCAAUUCGUUUAAUGCGGUUUCAAAUCGAAGUGAUUUAAUAUUUUUUUCCCAUGUUAAUUCGUUUUAGAGUUCAAACCGAAACAUCAUUUUAGAGAGAUUUUUAUUUUGUAGUUUAUAGAGGAUUACAAUGUUUCUGCAUAUAUAGGUAAAACAUGAAUGCAUUUAAACACCAUUGUAAAUUUCCCAAUGACGAAUGGAAUCAUGAGAAUAUAUCCAAUUUUUUCUUCUAUUGCUGGGGCGAAAGUUAAUAUUAUAGUAGGUUCUCAUGUUUGGGCUGAAGACCCUGAACUUGCCUGGGUCGAUGGAGAAGUUGUUAAGAUCAAAGGCGAAGAGGCCAAGAUCCAAGCAACCAAUGGAAAGAAGAUCAUUGCAGCUGCUGGUGGAGUUGAUGAUAUGACAAAGCUAUCAUACCUCCAUGAACCAGGAGUUCUGCAGAAUUUGGCAACCAGAUAUGAACUUAAUGAAAUAUAUAUAUGUUAUUCUGCAUGGCCAUUUACUGUAAAUAUGCCAUUGUUUCAGUCGUACUGUAUGACCUAUAACUUUAACAUUUUGACAGACAUAUACGGGAAACAUUCUCAUUGCCGUCAAUCCUUUCCAAAGAUUGCCAUAUUUGUAUGAUCCACAUAUGAUGCAACAGUACAAGGGAGCACCAUUUGGAGAGUUAAGUCCACAUGUUUCGCUAUGGCAGAUGUUGCAUACAGAGCAAUGAUUCAUGAAGGGAAAAGCAACUCUAUUCUUGUGAGUGGUGAGAGCGGCGUGGGUAAAACAGAAACAACAAAAUGCUUAUGAGAUAUCUUGCCUAUUUGGGUGGCCGAGCUGCUACCGAGGGAAGAAUAGUAGAGCAACAAGUUCUCGAAUCAAAUCCAGUCCUUGAAGCCCGAUCCGUAGAUCGGCCCCUGCCCCCUUCAUCUUAUUUGGGCUUGACGCAGCCGCACUCGGCACUCGGAUGAGCUGCUGCUGGUUGCUUUUUUUUUUUUAUACCUCGCCAUUUGAUCGCUGCUUUACUUACCUAUUCAAGCGUAGCGGGAUGGUAAAUUGUUCAUACAUCGUGGCUGGGUAGGUGGUGCGCCAUGGUUGUGGUGGUUGCUUGCGUUUGGGGAGGAAUUGUGAGUGUUGCACAUGGAUAGGAAUGACUACUAUGAAAGAGAUUCCACCUCGCUCAUCGUUAACCAGGUAAGCAAUUGCAAUAAACUUAAUUUGAGCAGUAGAGAGUCUCUAUAUCUGUGUGCUCAUAUCAUGUCAAGGAAUGCUU